CGGACGGGUGAGUAACGCGUGAGGUAAAGGCUCACCAAGGCGACGAUCAGUAGCUGGUCUGAGAGGAUGACCAGCCACACUGGGACUGAGACACGGCCCAGACUCCUACGGGAGGCAGCAGUGGGGAAUUUUCCGCAAUGGGCGAAAGCCUGACGGAGCAAGACCGCGUGGGGGAGGAAGGUUUGUGGACUGUAAACCCCUUUUAUCAGAGAAGAACACAAUGACGGUAUCUGAUGAAUCAGCCUCGGCUAACUCCGUGCCAGCAGCCACGGUAAUACGGAGGAGGCAAGCGUUAUCCGGAAUUAUUGGGCGUAAAGCGUCCGUAGGUGGCAGUUCAAGUCCAUUGUCAAAGCGUGGAGCUUAACUCCAUAAAGGCAGUGGAAACUGACGAGCUAGAGUGCAGUAGGGGUAGAGGGAAUUCCCGGUGUAGCGGUGAAAUGCGUAGAGCUCGGGAAGAACAUCGGUGGCGAAAGCGCUCUACUGGACUGCAACUGACACUCAGGGACGAAAGCUAGGGGAGCGAAUGGGAUUAGAUACCCCAGUAGUC
rnacentral:rRNA from 1 species